CAACUUCUGCUUCACUGGAGAACAGUCUUCUCUCAAUGGCAACCUGUGCACAACAAUAUCGGUAUCCAACCCUGGCAUAUCUUGAUAAGACCAGGCGAAGAUAUCAACAUACUCUUUCAACAAGGCUACCAUUCUGCUUUUGACAUUCACCUCUAAAGCGGCCCCGACUUUUAAUUCUUUUCUGACCUCCUCGGUACCCAAAUUGACAAUCUCGACUUGCUCCUCGUGCG
rnacentral:lncRNA from 1 species